AGUGAACGCUGGCGGCAGGCCUAACACAUGCAAGUCGAGCGGCAGCGCGGGGGCAACCCUGGCGGCGAGCGGCGGACGGGUGAGGGAUUCGGCGGAAUCUGCCUUUUUGUGGUGGAUAACGGAGGGAAACUUACGCUAAUACCGCAUACGUCCUACGGGAGAAAGGGGGGGACCGCAAGGCCUCACGCAGAAAGAUGAGCCGACGACCGAUUAGCGAGUUUGUGGGGUAAAGGCCCACCAAGGCGACGAUCGGUAGCUGGUCUGGAGGGGUGAGUGGGCACCACUGGAACUGAGAAACGGCCCAGACUCCUAGGGGAGGAAGCAGUGGGGAAAAUUGGAAAAUGGGGGAAACCCUGAUCAAGCCAUGCCGGGGGUGUGAAGGAGGCCUUCGGGUUGUAAAGCCCUUUUGUGGGGAAAAAAAUCCGUAGAGCUAAAACCUGCGGGGGAUGACGGUACCGGAAGAAUAAGCACCGGCAAACUUCGU
rnacentral:rRNA from 1 species